rnacentral:rRNA from 1 species
UGCCAGACUCCUACGGGAGGCAGCAGUGAGGAAUAUUGGUCAAUGGACGAGAGUCUGAACCAGCUAAGUAGCGUGAAGGAUGACUGCCCUAUGGGUUGUAAACUUCUUUUAUAUGGGAAUAAAAUGUUCCACGUGUGGGAUUUUGUAUGUACCAUAUGAAUAAGGAUCGGCUAACUCCGUGCCAGCAGCCGCGGUAAUACGGAGGAUGCGAGCGUUAUCCGGAUUUAUUGGGUUUAAAGGGUGCGCAGGCGGAAUGUCAAGUCAGCGGUAAAAUUUCGGGGCUCAACCCCGUCGUGCCGUUGAAACUGGCGUUCUUGAGUGAGCGAGAAGUAUGCGGAAUGCGUGGUGUAGCGGUGAAAUGCAUAGAUAUCACGCAGAACUCCGAUUGCGAAGGCAGCAUACCGGCGCUCAACUGACGCUCAUGCACGAAAGCGUGGGUAUCGAACAGGAUUAGAUACCCGAGUAAC